CCAACCCCAAGGAAACAUCAACAAUCCCCACAGAGUGGAUGACGUACACCGCGUCGUUGAGGGUGAUGCUGGUCUCUGCCAUGUUGGUGGACAGGACGACCUGCAGGAGGCAGGGAACAACAACAGGAGAUGGACAGGCAAGGGUGGAUUCCAGGCAGCUGGGCAGGCAGAGGAGCACACGGGGUGGAUGGCAGGCAGCUACGGGGUUGGUGAUCCUGGGGCGAGGACAACGCGGAGAUUUAAAGGUCCCAUGACAUGCCACCAGGUGUGGUGUGAUUAGCCGUUACAAGCCGUUUUGGAAAUCGGCCCCUUAUGACAUCACAGGUGGGCGUGUCCACCUAGAUGUGUGCUGGGUAGAUCAGUCUACCAGCCUACCCAGUGGACUGUAGCAAACGUUGCUCAUCUCUGCGUCAAGUUAUUAAAGAUAUGUGCAACUGUUUAUGAUUUGUAUUUGUUAAUAAACCAUAAAGUUACAA